AUGUCUUCACCGCCGCCAAGCCCGUCUCUUCCGCUGCCGGUCACCUUGUCGCCUCCGGCGACCACCACGGUCGUCGCCCCGCUCCUGCCAGCGCCGGGGUUCUCCGUCGCACCCACCCCCGCCGUCCUCACCUGGGAGGAGAUCCACCUGUUCUUGGCCGGGUCCUACGGGCCACACCCGGCUGCGACGCCCAUCGCCGCCCCCACGCCGCCGUGGCUGUCGUGGCAGCCACCGCACCAGGCGGCCUUCGCCGCGCUCGCCGGGCCGCUGCAGCAGCCGCCAUCCAUCGCCACCACCGCCCAGCCCUGGCUGCAGUGGUAG
rnacentral:rRNA from 1 species